UUAAUUUAAGUCCUUACAACGAGGACAUAUCGCAACACUUGGUCAUUAGACAUUAAUAACUCUUAAAAACUCUAAUUAUUCCCCCACCACUGUCCCUGCAGCCCUCCCCUCUCUAUUGCCUCCAGCGUAAAGAAAAAUGCCGUCUUUGCAAACAGCAUUACCUCCUGAGCUUGCCAACAAUGCCAUCAGAAACAUCAAAAAGUCAACAAUUCCAGUUCUAUUUUGUUGUAUAAAUGAAGCAAUGCUUUAUCGCGAAUGCCUAAGGCGAGCUAAGUAUAUUGGGCAAAAGGUUGGAUAGGUUACUGUAGCGUAGCAAAUAUCCCACCACCUCUCGAAUCUUGAUUUUCCCUGAGUGAACAGCUAUGUCUUUAGCAGAAAUUCAACACUGAACUGCUAAUUACCAUGGUGAGAGAGCAGUUGAAGAAGAACAUGCAUGAGACGGAUCCAGAUAAGAUUCAAAGGAUGAAGGAUGAUGCGGCAAGAGGACUGAUCAACCAUAUGAUAUACGAGUCUGAAAACUUGUCCGGGCGAAAAUUCAAUAAAAGCACUGACGGGAGCUGAAUCUCAAGUGUGCUAUGCUCUUAAAGUUCAUGGCGGCUUGCCUUUGGGAUCUGCUUUUAUGUUUGAUUUGAUUUCUUUAGUGAGAAAAAAACAUUACAUCUUGAGAUGUGGAAAAGGUUUUCUUUGACUUGUUAUGGCCUACUAUAUGAAAUACUAGUAAAUUUGAUUAUUCCUUUUUCA